CCUACGGGAGACAGCAGUAGGGAAUCUUUCACAAUGGGCGAAAGCCUGAUGGAGCAACGCCGCGUGCAGGAUGAAGGCCUUCGGGUUGUAAACUGCUUUUAUAAGCGAGAAAUAUGAUGGUAACUUAUGAAUAAGGAUUGGCUAACUACGUGCCAGCAGCCGCGGUCAUACGUAGGAUCCGAGCAUUAUCCGGAGUGACUGGGUGUAAAGAGUUGCGUAGGUGGCAUAAUAAGUAGCUAGUGAAAUCUGGUGGCUCAACCAUUCAGACUAUUAGCUAAACUGUUAAGCUCGAGACCGUUAGGGGUAACUGGAAUUUCUAGUGUAGGAGUGAAAUCCGUAGAUAUUAGAAGGAACACCAAUAGCGUAGGCAGGUUGCUGGGACGGUUCUGACACUAAGGCACGAAAGCGUAGGGAGCAAACGGGAUUAGAUACCCCAGUAGUC
rnacentral:rRNA from 1 species